GGGCUUCUUUUUGUAUCUCGAUGAACUUCUGGAUUAUACUUAUACCAGAUGGAAAUACUGUUGGCCCUGAUAUUUCUCUUGUGUUCACCUGAUCUCCAUGGAUUCUCCUCUUUAGACGGCUCUACUCCGUAGCGUCAUAUAUCAUCCAUAUUCGACACCAGUCGUCAACUCAACUUAUUAUUCAGUCUGAGCUUCGCGGAUGGAGUCAAGUCAUCCCAACUGGUACCCCGUUCACUACCCUCAGCGCAGGCGCCCACACCCACAAGUAUAUUGCAACGAGUGUCCAUCCUCCGGCACAGUUGUCUUUUCCGCGAUCACCGUCCUUGUGUGGUGUCCCCACUUGUUUUAAUAGAAAGAAGCUCAGCGGCGAAUAAAGCAAAAUGCGAUUGAGUGUAAAAAUGACGACUGGAAUCUCCCUUGAAUUGAACCCAGCGUCUUCGAGCUUCUGGAAGUUACUCUGAUACUUCUUCUUUCGUUGGCCUCCACGAGCCCAGG
rnacentral:sRNA from 1 species